rnacentral:lncRNA from 1 species
AAUCAAGCCAUCAUCCAGCUUUUGUCCCUGAUCUUUACUAAUUUCAGAGUUGAACAUAUUUUAAUCAGGGGUCAGAUCAGCUCCUUGCAGAGAGGAAUUUCUAUCAUCCUUUUUCAAAUGUACAUCCAAGGGCAGAGUUCACAUGAAGACACAGGCAAAAAAAUGCUCUUCUGGCAAGUUCUCAGGUCAAGUUUCUCAUUCUGGGAAGAGUCCUGUGUAAGUAAGAAAUCUGAUUCUGCUCGUCAAAACAUGUCAUUCAGAUCUCGUCCUCCUUUAGCAUGAGGCCUAGUGAAGAGAUGACUAUGCUGGCUGCCUAAACACUCAUUCUUACAAUUUUAUAAUGGAAGCCUAAGAAAAAUAACUCGGUGGAGUAAAGAAAAAGCAAGAGAUCAUGUUUUUGUAGACAAUGUAAAUGGGGUGCAGCUAUUUGGGGAGCGUUUAACAAUUGCUGUCCGUCUGCUCCUGGAGCUUUGGAUAAAAUGUGCUCCAGCAUUGCCCUGAAAGGACACAAGAGAAUCUGGCCAAGUUGCUGAUCCAUUUUUCAAUGGGAAACUGCUCCACUAGGUGGACACCAAACAGAAGCCAUCUCAGGAUGGUCAGCAGGGGUGGAAACAGUAAUGAGAUGGUAGCAUUUUGUUUUUGUUUUAUUAACCACAACCAUGACGUUUGCUUGGAGCCCAUAGAUCCUUCUUCAUCUUCGACCCAGAAUGCUGAGCUGAUUGCAUCAAGUACUGAGGAUUUGCUUCUCAUCUUCAUUCUUUUGCUUGACCAGCAUUUUGCAGGAUUUGGCAAAGCUUCUUGGUGCACUCUCUGGAGCCGAGGAACCUGCUCUCAGAUGUGAGCUAAUUAGUGAGCAGCACAUCAAAAGAAGUGAAGUGUAUCUUGUAAAUAGGAUUUCAUUUAAAACAGAUCAAAGAAAGAUUUACUGAAUCGCUCCCUCAUCCACUGAUUUCUCCAAGCAUCAGGCGGACGGUGAAGAGAACAACAAGUCACCAGCAUGAUAAAGACAGCUCCGAAAGAACAACUGUGAUGCUCAAGUCAAAUAUUAAUGAGGAGAGACAGCCAAAUAUAUCCAGGGGAGGAAUUCUACCUCUUGGGACAUUCACAGUUGGGUUUCUGAUGUAGGCCAGGAAGGCAGUAAUCUAUGUUUGUGACCCAGUCUACUUCUAAAGCUACAAGGUUGAAAAUAUGGUCUCUAGACUCUGUUCUGACUGCCUGGCUGUGUGACCUUGGGCAAGUUGCUUAACCUCUCUGAGCUCACUUCUCUUAUCCAUAAUGUAUAAAUCCCAGUCCUUUCUCUACUCACUUCCCAAGAGACUUGUAAAGAUCAAGUAAGUUGAUUAAUGUGACAGGGUUUGGAAAAAAUUUAAAAUGGCUAUACAAAUGUGAAGCAUUUUUGGCAUUAUUAACGAGGUCUCCAUAGGCAGAAUAAAUUAGAAGACCAGAAAAGUUUCCCAGAUGAUUUUGGCCAAAAUUCCAGCUCCUGAGGAAAAUAGCAUCCCAGUGGGCUGCCUGUGCAAAUCAGAUUUGCAGCAUCAUUGCCCAAGCCCCCUUUCUCCUGUGAUGACAGUGAGAAAUUAGCUUCCAAAGAAGAAACGAUUAAAACUGAGAAAGGAGAUGAAAACAUCUUUUUGUUUUCCUUUGAAGUUCCAGAUUUCUGAACAUGGCAGAUUUUGAAAAAACAGUCUUGUCCAUCUAAGGUUUAUUCACAUUUCCUCCAGCUUAGAAGGACAAAUGGAACCAAGUAGCUCGUGAUUGACAGUGAGAAAUGUCCUUUGACUUGAAUUUAAAAUGAAAACUGAUAUAAAGGAAAUCAGUAAAUACAAUUUUUGCUACAAAAAUAGCUUCAUGUUAUUUUUCUGGUGGUGGUUGUUGAACACGAAGAAUUUCAAGGUGGAUGAGGAAGUAGGUAGGAUGUUUCCUAAAGAAAAGGCCUACGCAGAGAAACAAAGGCCAGCUUACUCCUGCAAGCAAGAGCAGGAGCACGUUUAGAGAGAGGUACACUUGGAUCUGGGCAUCUUCCGGUCGGGGAGGAGGUGACUCUAGGCACUGCUGGGAAGGCCUCAGUCCCUUUGCAUAUCUACUGUACUUGGUAACAGUAUCAACCCCGAGCUGAGGACUAGGUCCAUGGACACUCUUAGGUCAAAGACAUGAAAGCAUCCUCUUUCUUUUCUGAGCCUCACCAACCUGGGAAGGUGCACCUCUUCCUAGAGGGAAGAUCACAUAAGAGAUAAAAAAAAAGGGGGGGCCUGAAAAUAACCCUCCCAUAGCUUCAGACAAGCCGGAAGGUCCAGAUGAAAACAGGGGCUGGAGGGAAGUGGAGGGAGUCCUAUUCUGAACAGUGGGACUUCAGGCACUAUGGCACUUGGCAGAGGUAACUUUUUUUAAAAAAAUUAAGGUAAAAUUUAUAUCAUAUAAAAUUAGCCAUCUUAAAGUGUGCAUUUUGGUGGCAUUUUAAUACAUUCACAAUGUUGUGCAACCAUCAACUCUAAUUCUCAAACAUUUCCAUCACCCCUAAGGGACACU